GAUGAACGCUAGCGGCAGGCUUAAUACAUGCAAGUCGAGGGGCAUCAAGGUACACGAAAGUGUAUUGUUGGCGACCGGCGGACGGGUGAGUAAUAGGUAGGUAACCUACCUCAUACUGAGGCAUAGCUGGGAGAAAUUCCAGGUAAUUCCUCAUGAGGUUAUAUGACACAUGUGAUAUAAUCAAAGGUAUCGCAAGGUACUGGUAUGAGAUGGGCUUACUGACCAUUAGCUAGUUGGUGAGAUAAGAGCUCACCAAGGCGAAGAUGGUUAGGGGUUUUGAGAGAGAGAUCCCCCACAUUGGAACUGAGAUACGGUCCAGACUCCUACGGGAGGCAGCAGUAGGGAAUAUUGGGCAAUGGGCGGAAGCCUGACCCAGCCAUGCCGCGUGAAGGAAGACGGCCUUAUGGGUUGUAAACUUCUUUACUAUGCGACUAACUGGAUUUACGAGAUAAUUCUAUAGAAUGUAGCAUAGCAAAAAGCACCGG
rnacentral:rRNA from 1 species